CGUACUGGCGUGCCCUGUGCAACCCCGUCAGCGGUCGACCACCGUCCGCCCCACCGCGCUGCCCUGUAGCUCUGCCGAAAGGCACGCCAGUCGCAGCUGCCAGCUGCCGCGAGAGUGAAAUGGCUGGCCCCGACCCCAGCCCCCGGCCUCCGAGCCGAACGCCUCCGCCGCGACGCCAGCGCCGAGUGCCGACGCCGUCGCGCGCCGUCCCGCGCGCCCCCGUCGGCCCCGGCCCACCCACGGGCCCCGGGCCGCCUGACACCCGCCGACGGCCGCCCCGCGACCCUUUGUUUUGCUCGGGCACAUGGCAGAAGCGUGAUGCCUAUUGAUUCCGCGCCGACACGCCGCCAAAAUCCGAUAAUUUUGAUGCCUCGCUCGCAAUCAAUAAUAAUUACCAUGUGCUGCUGCCGCCGCCGUCGUCAGUCGUGCUCGCACCGCCGACCACCACGCUGCUUUUCGGCCCGACCCGCCCCGCCGAUGUCCAGGUCGAUCACCAGUUCAAAACUAACAGUACUGGAGGCGACCCUGUCCAAGGAGGCACGCCACCUGGACCUUUCGGCCGCCGCGGAGAGGAGGCGGCUGCUCGCUUCAAUAAGGGCCAGGCGCUUUUGGACGCCCGUGGGCUCGGUGAGCACUUCGAGGAAAAACAGCGGACACCACGGGGUGCUGCAGGGAAGAGGCUCGGGAAAGCUGGACCUGAGGGGCAUAUUGUCAGCCGAGGAACUAGAUCACCUUGAGCGGCUUCUGCAACUGAUGCAGGUGGUCGAGCCGCCCGCCAUAAGUCAGUGGAACAUAAAACCCGACGAAAACGAGGGCCACGACAAAAGCCGUAACGUUGUGUUUCACAUGUGAAAAGAAACGUAAUUUUUUACAAAUUGAGGGAGGUUGUGUGAUAUUUAUUGAUUGCUUUCUAUUAAAAUUGUUUUAAAUCUUA